CGAGAAAUAAAGGGGUGCUGUAAAAAGCUGAGAUCAUACCCGAUGAACCUGGAACAGGUAAUGCUGUUUAGGGAUUAUCCCAACCGUAAAC
rnacentral:ncRNA from 1 species